rnacentral:rRNA from 1 species
ACGGGUGAGUAACACGUGGGCAAUCUGCCCUUCACUCUGGGACAAGCCCUGGAAACGGGGUCUAAUACCGGAUAACACUUCCACUCGCAUGGGUGGAGGUUAAAAGCUCCGGCGGUGAAGGAUGAGCCCGCGGCCUAUCAGCUUGUUGGUGAGGUAAUGGCUCACCAAGGCGACGACGGGUAGCCGGCCUGAGAGGGCGACCGACCACACUGGGACUGAGACACGGCCCAGACUCCUACGGGAGGCAGCAGUGGGGAAUAUUGCACAAUGGGCGAAAGCCUGAUGCAGCGACGCCGCGUGAGGGAUGACGGCCUUCGGGUUGUAAACCUCUUUCAGCAGGGAAGAAGCGAAAGUGACGGUACCUGCAGAAGAAGCGCCGGCUAACUACGUGCCAGCAGCCGCGGUAAUACGUAGGGCGCAAGCGUUGUCCGGAAUUAUUGGGCGUAAAGAGCUCGUAGGCGGUCUGUCGCGUCGGAUGUGAAAGCCCGGGGCUUAACCCCGGGUCUGCAUUCGAUACGGGCAGACUAGAGUGUGGUAGGGGAGAUCGGAAUUCCUGGUGUAGCGGUGAAAUGCGCAGA